UGGGGGAGCGCAGGAUCCUGGGCUGUGUCCCCUGGCUUCGUGGGAUCCGGGGCCUGCGCCACCGGAAUCGUGCUCCAGGGCCCCGCAGCCCCCU
rnacentral:pre_miRNA from 1 species